rnacentral:lncRNA from 1 species
CUGCUACCUCUCGUGCUGCUGCUGCCGUCCUGUGCUCGUGUACAGGCAGGCGCUGGUUGGUUGGUUGGUCUGAGGCUGUGGCCCAGGCACAGGCAGGUCCGGCAACGGGAUGGUCAAGUGCGUAGGGGAAAAGAAGGGACGAGAGGGAAAGGAAAAGGUGACACUGCGGUCGGCGUCCGGCGAGAGACGUUCAUGUCGACUGGGAGAAUCAGCGACGCGAUUCGUUGCGAAGGAACAGUGCGAUUCCGUGACUCGUGGGAUCCUUGUCUACCGUUGCCGUGGUUUCGCGCGCUGUUCGUCGCGGCAGCCAAAUUCCGCCUGGAAGUGGAGAUUUGGAUGAGAAGAAAAAACGCUAGAAAAAAAAAAUCAUCCAUCGCCGCUUGCGACUCCGGGCGGCGCCGCCGCCGCCGUCUGCCGCCGCCACCGCCACCGCCACCGCCACCGCCGCCGCUCUACUCCCCAGAUCUACACACACCAGCCUGCUUCGCUCCCGUUCCAUGCCCAAAACUUGCAGAUCACUUGCGCCUCAAACAAGCUAGGGUAGUCGUCGGGGGGAGGGGGGCGCUUGCUGCUCCCUCCGCCGGCACCAUCUCCAGUCCCGGUGCCGUCUCUCCCUGCUGGAUCCGGAGUCGCGCCUCCACUUUCUUCAUCCUGGUCGAGCCGAGCCACCUUGGGAUCUACCGUUGCUGCCUUUAUACUGUGUUCAAGCACAAUAGCAUUGAUAAUGCACUGCAAAGUGUUGUUGGACACAAGAGAGAGGUGCAUGAUCUAACACCAAAGAAGAAUAUAGGACGUGAAGAUACACAUUCUAGGGCAAAGAAGAUUGGGAAGGCCAGACCCGAUUCUCCAUAUGCUAACUUCACCAAUAGCCAACUGUUAACAACUUCCCGGUUCUAG